rnacentral:rRNA from 1 species
UACGGAGGGUGCAAGCGUUGUCCGGAAUUAUUGGGCGUAAAGCGCACGUAGGCGGUUCUUUAAGUCUCAUGUUGAAAGGCUGGGGCUCAACCCCAAGCAAGCCGGGGAUACUGGAGGACUGGAGACAGGCAGAGGCCAGCGGAAUUCCGGGUGUAGCGGUGGAAUGCGUAGAGAUCCGGAAGAACACCGGAGGCGAAGGCGGCUGGCUGGGCCUGAUCUGACGCUGAGGUGCGAAAGCGUGGGGAGCGAACAGG